CUGUGCACCUUAGGGUGGCUCCUGCCCAGCCACCUGUGAAGCUCUGCUGCGUGUGAAGGUGGCUUUUUUUUCUCUCCUGAAGGAAUUUCUGCCUCUUCCACCUCGGUCAGGACUGUCCCUUGUUGCAGGGUUCUUUUGAUCCAGUUUUCUGUUUUAUCUCCAGGGUAAUUUUUCCAAAAGGAGUUGUAAGCUGGUUGUGUUCAUGGGAAGAGGUGAGUUCAGAGUCUGCCUAUGAGAAGUGGUGUCUAAGCUUAGAGUUUUAAAACAAACGCACACCAACACGGAUUCAAAUGAAAAGCUUGGAGAAAAGUGGCCCAGUAUCCACCGUGUACAUGGGUCCCCAACCAGUAGUUGUUCUACGUGGACAUGAAGCAGUGAAGGAAGCCCUACUAGAGCAAGCAGACAAUUUCAGUUACUGUAGAGAAACGCCUUCAAUAGAGGGAAACUUCCAAGGUAACAGUGGCCACAAUAAUGAAAUUUUUAUAACGCACUUUCUUGAGUCUCAGAUUUUUGGUAAGUAUUCAACAUGCAUUAGCAAACUGACUCCUUCGAGGUAGCUGUUAAUAGCAUCACAAGAUUUCAAAUAAGGAAGCUGAGGGUAAGAAACUUUAGGUGAUGUCACACAACUAGUCAGUGGUAGCACCACGAUUGAACCAAAAUCGUCUGAGUCCAGAUUGCUUGCUGUGUGAUGUCGGCUCUCAUUUUUAACAGAUUAACUACAUGCUUUAUGGACCCAGUCAGACCCUCACAGCGAACCUUACUUGUAAUCUCACCCCACAGAUACACACUUACCCACACACAAGCCCCUGACUCCUCCAUUUAGAUAGACACCUGUCUAGUGUUACCCAUACAUUCAUCUCUAAAUGCCCACAUCCUUCAGGGCCAAAUAAUCUCACAUCACUCUUUACAUUCAUCCAGCCAUAGCUCUUCAAUGUAUUCAUUCAUCAGUAAAUCUAUUAAUGUUUCCGUCCAUCACUCCAACCUUUUAUCUAUCCAAUUUUCAAACAGUCCACCCGUUUCCCCUCUAUUCAUCCGUUUACUCUUUCAUCCAUCAAUCCAGUAAUGAACUUUUCCUUGCAUUCAUUAUUCCCCCCACUUUCUCAUUAAGUUUCAAAUAUCCACACA
rnacentral:lncRNA from 1 species